AAACAAAAAUUCAUUUUAAGUUCGCGAGCGCGGACCAUUUCAGAAAACCCUCGCUUGCUCAAAACCCUCUCUCUCACAUCGAUGAAGCACAUCUCCCUCUCAUCAUCCACCGAACUAGCCCAUAUCUCCAUCUCCGUGGACAUCGAGUUCGACGAGAUCGCCAUCUCCGUCGUGCCAGCGUUCGCCAUCUCCCUUCCUCGUCGCGACCAUUUUUAAGCCCCCAAAUGGAUUCCCAUCUUCCAUUUUACGAGCUUUAGAUUAGAUCUUCUUCCUCGUAGACCAGAAAGAGUUGUAUUAGCACCAUUGACUAGAGAAAGAUCAUAUGGAAAUGUUCCUCAGCCACAUGCCAUCUUAUAUUACUCUCAGAGAACAUCUAACGGAGGUCUUCUUAUAGCUGAAGCCACUGGAGUUUCUGACACAGCUCAAGGGUACCCAGAUACUCCUGGUAUAUGGACUAAGGAGCAAGUGGAAGCAUGGAAACCGAUUGUUGAUGCGGUUCAUAUGGUAAUUUACAGGUUGGAGAAGAUAUAUUUUAAAGAGCUCUUAGUUGCCAAGAAUGCUGGUGUAAAUGGAAGUGUUGUCAGUGAGAAGGAUUGGUAGAGCUGUACCAUAAUGGCAGCCAUGGUGUGGACAUUGAAGGUCCAGCAGAAGUUCGCAUCGAAUGGGCAACAUUUAUGAGCAAUCACAUGUACUUCCUCUUUAUAAGUAUAGGUUAAAUGCUAUGGAUAUAGUAGGAAUGAAGAUUGGUAAACUAUGUAAUUACUAUUGAAUAUUCAAGUUUUAUGAAAGAAACAAUGUUAUAUACA